rnacentral:piRNA from 1 species
UGAUGAAGUCUGCUCCCUCACAUCAAGGUGU